GGGCCCGCACAAGCGGUGGAGCAUGUGGUUUAAUUCGAUGAUACGCGAGGAACCUUACCAGGGCUUAAAUGUAGUGGGACAGGUCUAGAGAUAGACCCUUCUUCGGACUCAUUACAAGGUGCUGCAUGGUUGUCGUCAGCUCGUGCCGUGAGGUGUCAGGUUAAGUCCUAUAACGAGCGCAACCCCUAUCGUUAGUUGCCAGCGGGUAAUGCCGGGAACUCUAGCGAAACUGCCGGUGCAAACCGUGAGGAAGGUGGGGAUGACGUCAAAUCAUCACGGCCCUUACGUUCUGGCUACACACGUGCUACAAUGGCCGGUACAGAAAGCAGCCACUAUGCGAAUAGGAGCU
rnacentral:rRNA from 1 species